CCCGAUGCCAAGGCCGUCGUUGGCAGACUUCGCGAUUUGCCUGCGCUCGCCGAACAGGUCGAGCGCGGUCCUGCAAUCCUGAUUAUCGGCGACGUCGUCGCUCGAUCCGCCCCGUGGCGCAAUGCGAACCCGGAUGACCUCAUCUCUGACCUGUUAAUGGCUGGCGNNNNNNNNNUAAUGGCUGCCGAAUGACCUCACCUCUGCAACAGAAAAUCAAAAUCACCGGCCCGUCCAUCGUCACCGCCAACCGCACCGGCGAUGGAGCCGUGAUCUAUCGCACCGUUUCUCA
rnacentral:misc_RNA from 1 species